GUUGAACGCUGGCGGCAUGCUUUACACAUGCAAGUCGAACGGCAGCACGGGGGCAACCCUGGUGGCGAGUGGCGAACGGGUGAGUAAUGCAUCGGAACAUGCCCAGUCGUGGGGGAUAACGUAGCGAAAGUUACGCUAAUACCGCAUACGUCCUGAGGGAGAAAGCGGGGGAUCGCAAGACCUCGCGCCAUUGGAGUGGCCGAUGUCAGAUUAACUAGUUGGUGGGGUAAAGGCCCACCAAGGCGACGAUCUGUAGCGGGUCUGAGAGGAUGAUCCGCCACACUGGGACUGAGACACGGCCCAGACUCCUACGGGAGGCAGCAGUGGGGAAUUUUGGACAAUGGGGGCAACCCUGAUCCAGCCAUGCCGCGUGCGGGAAGAAGGCCUUCGGGUUGUAAACCGCUUUCAGCCGGAAAGAAAUCGCUAUUCCUAAUACGAGUGGUGGAUGACGGUACCGGAAGAAGAAGCACCGGCUAACUACGUGCCAGCAGCCGCAGUAAUAC
rnacentral:rRNA from 1 species